UACGUAGGCAGCAAGCGUUGUUCGGAAUUACUGGGCGUAAAGAGUGUGUAGGCGGUGCUCUAAGUCUGUUGUGAAAUCUCCCGGCUUAACUGGGAGGGUGCGGCGGAAACUGGAGUGCUCGAGGGUGGGAGAGGUAAGCGGAAUUCCUGGUGUAGCGGUGAAAUGCGUAGAUAUCAGGAGGAACACCUGUGGUGUAGACAGCUUACUGGACCACUUCCGACGCUGAGACACGAAAGCGUGGGUAGCAAACAGG
rnacentral:rRNA from 1 species